rnacentral:rRNA from 1 species
UACGUAGGGGGCAAGCGUUGUCCGGAAUCAUUGGGCGUAAAGAGCGUGUAGGCGGCUAGAUAAGUCCGCUGUGAAAUCUCGAGGCUCAACUUCGAGCUGUCGGUGGAAACUGUCUGGCUAGAGUCCGGAAGAGGAGAAUGGAAUUCCUGGUGUAGCGGUGAAAUGCGCAGAUAUCAGGAAGAACACCAGUGGCGAAAGCGGCUUCCUGGUCCAGCACCGACGUUCAGGCACGAAAGCGUGGGGAGCAAACAGG